rnacentral:piRNA from 1 species
GAUAGUUGGGAAGAAAACUUUGC